CCCCAGUCCGUCCUUCCUGUCUCUUUUCAAGUCACAAAAUUCUCCCCUCCCCUCCGUCAAGCUUACGGCCCUUCUCCUGUUUCCGAUUUCAGACCGGAACCGGAAGUGUGGUGGCAGGGUCCGGCAGCGAAAAGCGCCGCGGAGCCAGAGCCGGGACACGGCUGUGGCCGCUGCCCUAAGUCUCGCCACGGAUCGCCUGGUGGUAGGGCUGCACGGCUCCAGGCUGAGGGUCGGUCCGGAGGUGGGUGGGCGCGGGUCUCACCCGGUUUGUCCGGGCGGCACCGUCCCCGGGCCCCCCGGGCGCCGCGAGAGAUCAUGUCUACAGCCUCCGCAGCCUCCUCCUCCUCUUCGUCUUCGGCCGGUGAGAUGAUCGAAGCCCCAUCCCAGGUCCUCAAUUUUGAAGAGAUCGACUAUAAGGAGAUCGAGGUGGAAGAGGUUGUUGGAAGAGGAGCCUUUGGAGUAGUUUGCAAAGCUAAAUGGAGAGCGAAAGAUGUUGCUAUUAAACAAAUAGAAAGUGAAUCUGAGAGGAAAGCCUUUAUUGUAGAGCUUCGGCAGUUAUCCCGUGUGAACCAUCCUAAUAUUGUAAAGCUAUAUGGAGCCUGCUUGAAUCCAGUGUGUCUUGUGAUGGAAUAUGCUGAAGGGGGCUCUUUAUAUAAUGUGCUGCAUGGUGCUGAACCAUUGCCAUACUACACUGCUGCCCACGCAAUGAGUUGGUGUUUGCAGUGUUCCCAAGGAGUGGCGUAUCUUCACAGCAUGCAACCCAAAGCUCUAAUUCACAGGGACCUGAAACCACCAAACUUACUCCUGGUUGCAGGGGGGACAGUUCUAAAAAUCUGUGAUUUUGGUACAGCCUGUGACAUUCAGACACACAUGACCAAUAACAAGGGGAGUGCUGCUUGGAUGGCACCUGAAGUUUUUGAAGGUAGCAAUUACAGUGAAAAGUGUGACGUCUUCAGCUGGGGUAUUAUUCUUUGGGAAGUGAUAACACGUCGGAAACCUUUUGAUGAGAUUGGUGGCCCAGCUUUCCGAAUCAUGUGGGCUGUUCAUAAUGGUACUCGACCACCAUUGAUCAAAAAUUUACCUAAGCCCAUUGAGAGCCUGAUGACUCGUUGUUGGUCUAAAGAUCCUUCUCAGCGCCCUUCAAUGGAGGAAAUUGUGAAAAUAAUGACUCACUUGAUGCGGUACUUUCCAGGAGCAGAUGAGCCAUUACAGUAUCCUUGUCAGUAUUCAGAUGAAGGACAGAGCAACUCUGCCACCAGUACAGGCUCAUUCAUGGACAUCGCUUCUACAAAUACUAGUAAUAAAAGUGACACUAAUAUGGAGCAAGUUCCUGCCACAAAUGACACUAUUAAACGCUUAGAAUCAAAGUUGUUGAAAAAUCAGGCAAAGCAACAGAGUGAGUCUGGACGUCUAAGCUUGGCAGCCUCCCGUGGGAGCAGUGUGGAGAGCCUGCCCCCUGCCUCUGAGGGCAAGAGGAUGAGUGCUGACAUGUCUGAAAUAGAAGCUAGGAUUGCUGCAACCACAGCCUAUUCCAAGCCAAAACCGGGCCACCGUAAAACCGCUUCAUUUGGCAACAUUCUGGAUGUCCCUGAGAUCGUCAUAUCAGGCAACGGGCAGCCAAGACGUAGAUCCAUCCAAGACUUGACUGUAACUGGAACAGAACCUGGUCAGGUGAGCAGUAGGUCAUCCAGUCCCAGUGUCAGAAUGAUCACUACCUCAGGACCAACCUCAGAAAAGCCAACUCGAAGUCAUCCAUGGACCCCUGAUGAUUCUACAGAUACCAAUGGAUCAGAUAACUCCAUCCCAAUGGCUUAUCUUACACUGGAUCACCAACUACAGCCUCUUGCACCAUGCCCAAACUCCAAAGAAUCUAUGGCAGUGUUUGAACAGCAUUGUAAAAUGGCCCAAGAAUAUAUGAAAGUUCAAACAGAAAUUGCAUUGUUAUUACAAAGGAAGCAAGAACUAGUUGCAGAACUGGACCAGGAUGAAAAGGACCAGCAAAAUACAUCUCGUCUGGUACAGGAACAUAAAAAGCUUUUAGAUGAAAACAAAAGCCUUUCCACCUACUACCAGCAAUGCAAAAAACAACUAGAGGUCAUCAGAAGUCAGCAGCAAAAACGACAAGGCACUUCAUGAUUCUCUGGGACCGUUAAAUUUUAAAAUAUGCAAAGGAAGACUUUUUUAAAAAGAAAGAAAAACCCUUAUAAUGACAAUUCAUGAGUGUUAGAUUUUUGGCGUGUUCUGAUUUUGCCAACUGCCUAUAUUUGCUGCAUUUGUUUUUUCCUUUUCUCGUGGUGGAAAUGCAAUUCCACCGUCUUGUUGCAUAACAUGGUGGCGUCUGUGACUUGAAUAAGCAGCAGUUCUCAACUUCAAAACAAAUGCAGUGAACUGUGACUGUAUAUGCAUGCUCAUUGUGUGAAGGCUAGCCUAGCAGAACCUGGGGUAUCAAACUAGCUGCUAUAUGCAAACAUUGUCCUUUUUUCCAUAUUAGAGGUGGAACCUCAAGCAUGAUUUUGUUCUUGUAUCUCAUCUCAAAAAACUAGUAAUUUUUUUUCCCAAAAUAUGGUAUAUACCAAGUUAAAGACAGGGUAUUAUAAAUCUAGAAUAGUGGUGGUGUAUUACAGAAAUACAGAACCUUUAGGAAUAGUUUAUGGGCUUUGAUGCCAACAUCCUGGGAUCAGUACUGAACUUAGUUCCAUCCAUAAAAUAUUUAAAGAUAAGCAAGAUGAUCUAAGAAGUUAUCAAAAGUAUUCUUAAAAAUGCUAAAGCAGGAUUGGAAACGUGUUUGUAUCAUCUAAGCUGCAUAUGAAAUCGAUGGACUUAAUGCACUUGUAAAACAGAUCUACUUCUGUAAAUUGGGG